GACGAACGCUGGCGGCGUGCCUAAUACAUGCAAGUCGAGCGCAGGAAACUGACGGAACUCUUCGGAGGGAAGGCAGCGGAAUGAGCGGCGGACGGGUGAGUAACACGUAAGGAACCUGCCUCAAGGAUGGGGAUAACUCCGAGAAAUCGGAGCUAAUACCGGAUAAUUCAACGGACCGCAUGGUCUGCUGAUGAAAGGCGCUUCGGCGUCACCUUGAGAUGGCCUUGCGGUUGAUUAGCUAGUUGGUGGGGUAACGGCCCACCAAGGCGACGAUGCAUAGCCGACCUGAGAGGGUGAUCGGCCACACUGGGACGGAGACACGGCACAGACUCCUAAGGGAGGCAGCAGUAGGGAAUCUUCCACAAUGGACGAAAGUCUGAUGGAGCAACGCCGCGUGAGUGAUGAAGGUUUUCGGAUCGUAAAACUCUGUUGUAAGGGAAGAACACGUACGAGAGGAAAUGCUCGUACCUUGACGGUACCUUACGAGAAAGCCACGGCUAACUACGUGCCAGCAGCCGCCGUAAGAC
rnacentral:rRNA from 1 species